rnacentral:rRNA from 1 species
GGUUAAGUGACUAAGCGUACACGGUGGAUGCCUGGGCAGUCAGAGGCGAUGAAGGACGUACUAACUUGCGAUAAGCGCAGAUAAGGCAGUAAGAGCCGUUUGAGUCUGCGAUUUCCGAAUGGGGAAACCCAACUGCAUAAGCAGUUACUGUUAACUGAAUACAUAGGUUAACAGAGCAAACCGGGGGAACUGAAACAUCUAAGUACCCCGAGGAGAAGAAAUCAACCGAGAUUCCGGUAGUAGCGGCGAGCGAACCUGGAUUAGCCCUUAAGCACUCGGUGAAGUAGGUGAACAAGCUGGAAAGCUUGGCGAUACAGGGUGAUAGCCCCGUAACCGACGCUUCAUCGAGCGUGAAAUCGAGUAGGGCGGGACACGUGAUAUCCUGUCUGAAUAUGGGGGGACCAUCCUCCAAGGCUAAAUACUCCUGACUGACCGAUAGUGAACCAGUACCGUGAGGGAAAGGCGAAAAGAACCCCUGUGAGGGGAGUGAAAUAGAACCUGAAACCGUGUACGUACAAGCAGUAGGAGCACCUUCGUGGUGUGACUGCGUACCUUUUGUAUAAUGGGUCAGCGACUUAUAUUCAGUGGCAAGGUUAACCGUAUAGGGGAGCCGUAGCGAAAGCGAGUCUUAACUGGGCGCUCAGUCUCUGGAUAUAGACCCGAAACCGGGUGAUCUAGCCAUGGGCAGGUUGAAGGUUGAGUAACAUCAACUGGAGGACCGAACCGACUAAUGUUGAAAAAUUAGCGGAUGACUUGUGGCUAGGGGUGAAAGGCCAAUCAAACUCGGAGAUAGCUGGUUCUCCCCGAAAGCUAUUUAGGUAGCGCCUCGGACGAAUACUACUGGGGGUAGAGCACUGUUAAGGCUAGGGGGUCAUCCCGACUUACCAACCCUUUGCAAACUCCGAAUAC